CAGCCCAGGGAAGGCAGGACUGGAGGCGUUUCUUAGACACUCUGUGAGGGGAUCACUUUCCACUCGAGAUGGUACUGUGGAGGGGAAGGGAGAGAGGGCAACAGAAAGUGAGGUCGUAAGUAGAAAACUGGUUCUGGGAUUUCGAAUGGCCUCGUCAUGGGGGGCCCUCCCUGGCUGCCGAGAAAUCAGUUGAUCUGGGAAAGUUCGUUGCAAGCCAUGCUCUCUGUCACUUUUGGGUGGAGCUGAGAAACGAAGAUAAUGAGACCUCGUGACUUUAGUUUUCAGAGUGCCGUGUCGAAAAAGUUGCUUUGAGUAGCUGAGCAGUGUGGUUAUGAACUGGACCACUUCAAUUUUGGUAUCUGGGAGGCUGGAAAGCUGUAAGACAACAGAGAGGCCCAUCCAUUAGAGGGACGCCAAUGUCGAGGGCAGCCAGCACCCAUCAGGGGCUUUCCAGGGACUGUCCCGUACAAUGCUCUCCAAAAGUCCCUGCCAGGCAUGCGUAGCUCUGAAGGUGGUUUGCAAAGCCCUAGCUGCGUGAAGAGGGCUUAGAGAAAAGAAGGCCAAGACCCACAGCCGCCUCCACAUCCCGAAGCCCGGGCUCCUUACCCCGCCAGCUGUCAGGUCCACGCUCCACACCAUGCUGCCGUUGCAUAGCGGAGUCUGAGGAAACAAAGAGACCAUGAAGUAGAGUGGGAGCAGAAGUCACGGGCCUCACCCAGCCAGGCCAGGCCCACAAGCACCCCUAGUGUAGCAUAGAGUCGGGCCUGACAGCCCCUCAACACUGUAAGCUCCAGAGGGGCAGGGGCAGUCCUGGAGUUGAGAGAGGAACAUCGAGUGGCUAUCGACAGGGGAAAUGCCUCAUCUGAAGCUUGCCACAGUCUGGCCAGGAGCAUGGGGGCCUACAGAGAAGCCAGAGUGCAGUUUCAUAGAAGGGUAGGAGAGGCUGCUGUUGACCUGGUCAAGCCGGGGCUGAGGCAGUAGGAGCCCGAUGUAUCUCUAGUCUGUUCUCUGGGAUGCUAUGUUAGAAACACACAGAGGAAGCCUCAUACGAUUCUUGCAAGGCUUGAGUCUAGACUGUGACAUUAACCUCCCCCAACCUUACAAAACGAAGGCUCUGUGCCUGCCUCUGGAGGUAUCAGAAGGGACAACACAGCGUAACACCAGGUUUAGCAAUAAUCAAUGGUCGGACAGUGUGAGCUCAUACGCCAGUGGCGUCGGAAAUCCAGUUGGUAGAUGCCAAUGGCCCCGCCAUUUUGAGCAAGUUCUCCACUUUGGUUAAACAGGGCAGUUUCUGGGAACCACAGUAAUCAGCGUUCCACAACUAAUGCAGCUCAUUGUCCUAGAUUCUGGUCAUCCCCCAGCCCCACUCUCAGCCCUCCUUCUGCAGAACCUUGAUAAUGAUUGGUCAACAUGGAGCUUCAAGGACCACCUGGCACUCUCUGGCUCACCAUUCCUUGGUUACCCUAGCAAGCUCUGGAUCCACAUCCCAACCCUCCCCUGUCCCUGUAACCAGCCUAGACUGUGAGAAGUCUGGGAGCUAUCUGGUUUCCCCUUCUAGAAACCUCUCUUCCAUGGGUUUUCUUGGAGAAAAUCUGUCCCGUUGUAAAGGUCUUUCCUUUGGGGGACCUUUCACUGACCACACUGUUGCCCCCACCCCCAAGCUAGCUUCUCUUUUCCCUCUAUCAUACAUACAAGGCCAGACCCAGCCUGCUCAUGACGUCUUCCGGGGAGGGGGAGGUGUGUUACUCACCCUCUGGUCUUGUGUGAUGUUGCUCAGCUCCUCAAUAAGCUCCUUGAGGGCCACAGGGGGCGGCAUGGGUCGAGGCACGGGGCCUGGGGCGGCGAGACCACCAAGGCAGGCGAGAGCCAGGACUGCGGUCACCCAGAGCGCCAUGAAGCCCAGAGCCAACGAGAGAACCAAGGCGCAGAAGAACUGUAGGCUGGCUUAAGCUGGUGGCUUUGUGGCCGUAGCCUGUGGCAGCAGCUUUUAUAAGCCCAAGUGGUGACGCCUCACCUCUGGUCGCUGCUUUGUUGGGCAUUAUCUGAAAACCACAUCUUUACUCAUCUUGAUUUUUUUUUCUUUUUUAGCUUUUUUGGAAA